UACGAAGGAGGCUAGCGUUGCUCGGAAUCACUGGGCGUAAAGCGCACGGUAGGCGGAUUGUUAAGUCAGGGGUGAAAUCCUGGAGCUCAACUCCAGAACUGCCUUUGAUACUGGCGAUCUUGAGUCCGGGAGAGGUGAGUGGAACUGCGAGUGUAGAGGUGAAAUUCGUAGAUAUUCGCAAGAACACCAGUGGCGAAGGCGGACUCACUGGCC
rnacentral:rRNA from 1 species